rnacentral:rRNA from 1 species
CCGGAGGCCAUUGCUAUCAGGGUUUGACUAAGCCAUGCGAGUCGAGAGGUGUAAGACCUCGGCAUACUGCUCAGUAACACGUGGUUAACCUGCCCUAAGGUGGAGAAUACUCCCGGGAAACUGGGGCUAAUGCUCCAUAGUGGAUAUGUCCUGGAAUGGUAUAUCCUCGAAAGAUCCGUCGCCUUAGGAUGGGACUGCGUCCGAUUAGGUUGUUGGCGGGGUAACGGCCCACCAAGCCUUUUAUCGGUACGGGUUGUGGGAGCAAGAUCCCGGAGAUGGAUUCUGAGACAUGAAUCCAGGCCCUACGGGGCGCAGCAGGCGCGCAAACUUUACAAUGCGAGCAAUCGUGAUAAGGAAACCCUGAGUGCCUGUCGAUGCAGGCUGUUCAUAUAUCUAAAUCAUAUGUGAAGAAAGGGCAGGGCAAGGCCGGUGCCAGCCGCCGCGGUAAUACCGGCUGCUCGAGUGAUGGCCACUAUUACUGGGUUUAAAGCGUCCGUAGCUUGACUGUUAGGUCUCUUGGGAAAUCUUCGCGCUCAACGUGAAGGCGUCUAAGAGAUACCGGCAGUCUUGGAACUGGGAGAGGUAAACCGUACUUCGGGGGUAGGAGUGAAAUCUUGUAAUCCUCGAGGGACGACCUAUGGCGAAGGCAGUUUACCAGAACAGCAUCGACAGUGAGGGACGAAAGCUGGGGGAGCAAACGGGAUUAGAUACCCCGGUAGUCCCAGCCGUAAACAAUGUGCGUUAGGUGUGUCGGUAA